GGCAGAGGGUGCAAACGUUGUUCGGAAUUACUGGGCGUAAAGCGAGUGUAGGCGGUUCGGUAAGUCGGAUGUGAAAGCCCCGGGCUCAACCCGGGAAGUGCACUCGAUACUGCCGAGCUAGAGUGUCGGAGAGGUUGGUGGAAUUCUCGGUGUAGAGGUGAAAUUCGUAGAUAUCGAGAGGAACACCGGUGGCGAAGGCGGCCAACUGGACGAACACUGACGCUGAGACUCGAAAGCGUGGGGAGCAAACAGG
rnacentral:rRNA from 1 species